AUUGAACGCUGGCGGCAGGCUUAACACAUGCAAGUCGAGCGGCAGCGCGGGGGCAACCUUGGCGGCGAGCGGCGAACGGGUGAGUAACGCGUAGGAAUCUACCUGGUAGAGGGGGAUAGCCCGGGGAAACUCGGAUUAAUACCGCAUACGCCCUACGAGGGAAAGCAGGGGAUCUUCGGCCCUUGCGCUAUCAGAUGAGCCUGCGUCGGAUUAGCUAGUUGGUGAGGUAAAGGCUCACCAAGGCGACGAUCCGUAGCUGGUCUGAGAGGACGACCAGCCACACUGGGACUGAGACACGGCCCAGACUCCUACGGGAGGCAGCAGUGGGGAAUAUUGGACAAUGGGCGGAAGCCUGAUCCAGCAAUGCCGCGUGUGUGAAGAAGGCCUGCGGGUUGUAAAGCACUUUCAGUGGGGAGGAGAGGCCUUUGGCUAAUAUCCAGAGGAAGAGACGUUACCCACAGAAGAAGCACCGGCUAACUCUGUGCCAGCCGCCGCAGUAAAAC
rnacentral:rRNA from 1 species